rnacentral:rRNA from 1 species
UACAGGGGGGGCAAGCGUUGUUCGGAAUUACUGGGCGUAAAGGGCUCGUAGGUGGCCAACUAAGUCAGACGUGAAAUCCCUCAGCUUAACUGGGGAACUGCGUCUGAUACUGGAUGGCUUGAGUUUGGGAGAGGGAUGCGGAAUUCCAGGUGUAGCGGUGAAAUGCGUAGAUAUCUGGAGGAACACCUGUGGCGAAAGCGGCUCACUGGACCAUAACUGACGCUGAGGCACGAAAGCUAGGGGAGCAAACAGG